AACCUUCUUCUUCUCUACGCCACUUUCAUCUCUUCUCAAGCUGCUUCUGGUUCCCAAAAUUCAAGCUCUUUUGUUGGAUGAAAGCAACAAACAACACUGGACGAAAACACGAGAUUCACACCAUAGAACACGAACUCUGAAAGGAAAUUAACUUCAGCCCUAAUUUUCAAGGACGAAGCUACAAGUUGGAAGAAGUUUCUUUCUUCUUGUCGCCUUCUGCAACGUUCUGAGUUGCAUAGGAUGAAGUCCCACGGAGUUCAUGAUCGGCAUGAUGCCCCACAGUGCCGAUGUGGGCAAGGGAAGAUGGUGGUUCGAUGUAGCGGGAAAUUUUCCAAUAACCCUGGCCGUUACUUUGCAUAUUGGCUUUUGCAUUUUAGUUUCUACUAACUUAUGUAUCUAAGUGAUGUUGAUCCACAAACAUUAAAGCUAUUUUUGACAGCUUCA